rnacentral:rRNA from 1 species
AUARAGAAUAGUUAGUGGCAGACGGGUGAGUAAUGCAUAGGAAUCUACCUAGUAGUAUGGGAUAGCCACUAGAAAUGGUGGGUAAUACUGUAUAAUCCCUGCGGGGGAAAGAUUUAUCGCUAUUAGAUGAGCCUAUGUUAGAUUAGCUAGUUGGUAGGGUAAAGGCCUACCAAGGCGAUGAUCUAUAGCUGGUCUGAGAGGAUGAUCAGCCACACUGGAACUGAGAUACGGUCCAGACUCCUACGGGAGGCAGCAGUGGGGAAUAUUGGACAAUGGGCGCAAGCCUGAUCCAGCUAUGCCGCGUGAGUGAGGAAGGCCUUAGGGUUGUAAAACUCUUUCAGUAGGGAAGAUAAUGACGGUACCUACAGAAGAAGUCCCGGCAAACUCCGUGCCAGCAGCCGCGGUAAUACGGAGGGGGCAAGCGUUGUUCGGAAUUAUUGGGCGUAAAGGGCAUGUAGGCGGUUCGGUAAGUUAAAGGUGAAAUGCCAGGGCUUAAC